AGACCUUCAGCAACUCCCAUCUCUACAUCUGUCAGAAGCAAGCCAGGUACCCAGCCCAGAUGAGAGCAUAAUACGAGUUAAUUAUUGCUCACUUAAGAGAAGUCCUAUGCUGAGAGCUGUUGCCGGUGGGAUUCCCUGGAUUUGGUAAGGCACAUUUGGCUCCAUCACACUGGCAAGAAUGAAACAAUAUUUCCUGAGCACUGACCUCUUCGACACUUAUGUGGACUCAGCAUCUUAAUUGCUGUUAGUGUGAAUCACCAAAAGCUGGUGCAUAAUUUCUCGAGACAUUUAUUGGAGAUCUACAGUAGACAUUCACUCUCAAUAACAAAAAUAAAGAAAUCCAUAAAUCCCAUGAAACUUUCCCCUACUUCAUUUUAAGUUGUUUAUACAAGAAACUUCAUGUCGUAAUAACACUUUUUGGCCUUUGUUUGAUUGGAAAUUUCUAUUAAACUGUUAU
rnacentral:lncRNA from 7 species